CCUACGGGGCGCUGCAGUGAGGAAUAUUGGUCAAUGGGCGAGAGCCUGAACCAGCCAAGUCGCGUGAAGGAUGACUGCCCUACGGGUUGUAAACUUCUUUUGUCAGGGAGCAAUUGGGUCCACGCGUGGGCUUAGCGAGAGUACCUGAAGAAAACGCAUCGUCUAACUCCGUACCAGCAGCCGCGGUAAUAAGGAGGAUGCGAGCGGUCUCCGGAUUUAUUGGGUUUAAAGUGUGCGUAGGCGGAAUUUCAAGUCAGCGGUAAAAAUUCGGGGCUCAAACCCGUCGUGCCGUUGAAACUGAUGUUCUUGAGUGGGCGAGAAGUAUGCGGAAUGCGUGGUGUAGCGGUGAAAUGCAUAGAUAUCACGCAGAACUCCGAUUGCGAAGGCAGCAGACCGGCGCACAACUGACGCUGAAGCACGAAAGCGUGGGUAUCGAACAGGAUUAGAUACCCCAGUAGUC
rnacentral:rRNA from 1 species